rnacentral:tRNA from 2 species
CGGGGCGUAGCGCAGCCUGGUAGCGUACCUGCAUGGGGUGCAGGUGGUCGUGAGUUCGAAUCUCACCGCCCCGACCA